CCUACGGGAGGCAGCAGUGAGGAAUAUUGGUCAAUGGGCGCGAGCCUGAACCAGCCAAGUAGCGUGAAGGAUGACUGCCCUACGGGUUGUAAACUUCUUUUUUAAAGGAAUAAAGUGAGGCACGUGUGCCUUUUUUUAUGUACUUUAUGAAUAAGGAUCGGCUAACUCCGUGCCAGCAGCCGCGGUAAUACGGAGGAUCCGAGCGUUAUCAGGAUUUAUUGGGUUUAAAGGGAGCGUAGAUGGGUUGUUAAGGAAGUUGUGAAAGUUUGCGGCUCAACCGUAAGAUUGCAAUUGAUACUGGCAGCCUUGAGUACAGUUGAGGUAGGCGGAAUUCGUGGUGUAGCGGUGAAAUGCUUAGAUAUCACGAAGAACUCCGAUUGCGAAGGCAGCUUACUAAACUGCCACUGACAUUGAUGCUCGAAAGUGUGGGUAUCAAACAGGAUUAGAUACUCGGGUAGUC
rnacentral:rRNA from 1 species